rnacentral:lncRNA from 1 species
UGAAGAAGGAUGUAUUUGCUUCCCCUUCUGCCAUGUUUGUAAGUUUCCUGAGGCCUCCCCAGCCCUUCAGAACUGGAGGCUGGAAUUCUGCAGCUCCUCAGGGACUUUCACAGUGUCAGGUUAGUUACCUAAAUCUUAGGUAACUUUAGGUUAGUUACCUAAAGUCACUCUGUGACUUCAUCCUGAUAUAAAGGAACAAGGAAGAGAGUCGGAUUAGGCUAACUCACUAUGGUGGGGUAACACAUAGAAAAGGCACGGAGAAGUUAAGUGAUUUGCCUGUGGUCACAAAGCCUGUUAGCAGCAAACCCAGAACAAGAACCUAAGAUUUAUGACCGCCAGUUCCAGCUGUUUUUCUUCGUCAUGUAUCCUCAGCAAUCAACAUAAUCAAAAUCUGUUUGGAGGCUACUGAUUUGUAUAAAGGAAGAUAACACCGAACAACCAAACAGGAAGUAAUCCAGCGAAUCUGGAACAGCGGUGGAAUUUAGAAGCAAGGCCAGGUGAGGACCCUAAGACCUAGAGAAACUAAGUCAUUUGCUCAAGAAGACAAAGGUAAUCAUCAGAAAUCAACAUGAGAUUUCAGCUCUCCUGAUCCUUAGUACAACAUGUGAAAGAAGAUAUGUUGUCUUUACUCACAGUGGAGGCAUUUUUCUAGCUGUGUUUGAUUUGGCUUCCCUAUAGAUUCAGGACCCAUAACUCUUGUUCUCACUCAUCUGCUAUGCUGCUGAUAAGGACUUUCAGGUCAACAGCUGUAACUGCUAAAUGAAGUUAAUACUCUGGAAAAAAAAAAAAAAAAAAACAUCGUCUGGUCCAGUUCAGCACAGAGCUAGCUGCAAGUGACAACCUAAGAGAAAAGUCAGCGAGAACAAAGAUCCAUCUCUUCGUUGACUGCCUUAAUCCCUAGAGCUGUGUUCUUCAAUUUGUUACUAUUUGCUACAAUUUUUCUGCCUAACAAGCAAGUUCUAUCCUGCCUAGGAGAGAAACUUUUAGUAAAUUCAUCUUCAUUCACUACUAUUCAGCUCAUGCUGUAAAAACUUAGAUAAUGCUGUCUGAAAUACUUAACUCCUGGUCAAAUGCAGCUGCUAUUUCAUUCA